CUACGUGCCAGCAGCCGCGGUAAUACGUAGGUGGCAAGCGUUGUCCGGAAUUAUUGGGCGUAAAGCGCGCGCAGGCGGAUUGGUCAGUCUGUCUUAAAAGUUCGGGGCUUAACCCCGUGAUGGGAUGGAAACUGCCAAUCUAGAGUAUCGGAGAGGAAAGUGGAAUUCCUAGUGUAGCGGUGAAAUGCGUAGAUAUUAGGAAGAACACCAGUGGCGAAGGCGACUUUCUGGACGAAAACUGACGCUGAGGCGCGAAAGCCAGGGAGCGAACGGGAUUAGAUACCCCGGUAGUCCUGGCCGUAAACGAUGGGUACUAGGUGUAGGAGGUAUCGACCCCUUCUGUGCCGGAGUUAACGCAAUAAGUACCCCGCCUGGGGAGUACGACCGCAAGGUUGAAACUCAAAGGAAUUGACGGGGGCCCGCACAAGCGGUGGAGUAUGUGGUUUAAUUCGACGCAACGCGAAGAACCUUACCAGGUCUUGACAUUGAUGGACAGAACUAGAGAUAG
rnacentral:rRNA from 1 species